rnacentral:miRNA from 1 species
GACGCUCACGCGGGGGGGCUGGGCUGGGGUGGUCAGCGGAGGGAGGGAACCAGAGGGGCGUCCGGGCUGUUC